UAGUUCAGUGGUAGAACACAUGCUUAGCAUGCACAAGGUCCUGGGUUCAAUCCCCAG
rnacentral:tRNA from 1 species